GCUUGCUCUUAUGAAGUUAGCGGCGGACGGGUGAGUAACACGUGGGUAACCUGCCCAUAAGACUGGGAUAACUCCGGGAAACCGGGGCUAAUACCGGAUAACAUUUUGAACCGCAUGGUUCGAAAUUGAAAGGCGGCUUCGGCUGUCACUUAUGGAUGGACCCGCGUCGCAUUAGCUAGUUGGUGAGGUAACGGCUCACCAAGGCAACGAUGCGUAGCCGACCUGAGAGGGUGAUCGGCCACACUGGGACUGAGACACGGCCCAGACUCCUACGGGAGGCAGCAGUAGGGAAUCUUCCGCAAUGGACGAAAGUCUGACGGAGCAACGCCGCGUGAGUGAUGAAGGCUUUCGGGUCGUAAAACUCUGUUGUUAGGGAAGAACAAGUGCUAGUUGAAUAAGCUGGCACCUUGACGGUACCUAACCAGAAAGCCACGGCUAACUACGUGCCAGCAGCCGCGGUAAUACGUAGGUGGCAAGCGUUAUCCGGAAUUAUUGGGCGUAAAGCGCGCGCAGGUGGUUUCUUAAGUCUGAUGUGAAAGCCCACGGCUCAACCGUGGAGGGUCAUUGGAAACUGGGAGACUUGAGUGCAGAAGAGGAAAGUGGAAUUCCAUGUGUAGCGGUGAAAUGCGUA
rnacentral:rRNA from 1 species